AUUGAACGCUGGUGGCAGGCCUAACACAUGCAAGUCGAACGGUAGCACAGAGAGCUUGCUCUCGGGUGACGAGUGGCGGACGGGUGAGUAAUGUCUGGGAAACUGCCCGAUGGAGGGGGAUAACUACUGGAAACGGUAGCUAAUACCGCAUAACGUCGCAAGACCAAAGUGGGGGACCUUCGGGCCUCACACCAUCGGAUGUGCCCAGAUGGGAUUAGCUAGUAGGUGGGGUAAUGGCUCACCUAGGCGACGAUCCCUAGCUGGUCUGAGAGGAUGACCAGCCACACUGGAACUGAGACACGGUCCAGACUCCUACGGGAGGCAGCAGUGGGGAAUAUUGCACAAUGGGCGCAAGCCUGAUGCAGCCAUGCCGCGUGUAUGAAGAAGGCCUUCGGGUUGUAAAGUACUUUCAGCGGGGAGGAAGGCGGUGAAGUUAAUAACCUUGGCGAUUGACGUUACCCGCAGAAGAAGCACCGGCUAACUCCGUGCCAGCCGCCGCCGUAA
rnacentral:rRNA from 1 species